GCGCGCGGGUUAAUAUAUUUAAUAUUUUUUUUUUCUUCUCUCUUUUUUUUAUAAGAGGGAGGAAAAAGCCCCGGAAAAAAAAAUUUUUGGGUUUUAAACCCUUUUUAAAAUUUUUCUUUUUAAAAAAACUAUUUUUUUUUAUGAUUUAAAGGGUUUUCGGGUUUGAGGAUGAGGUUUUGGUUUUUUUUUAUUUUGUAGGUGGAGGUAAAGGGGUUCCCCUUAGGUUUCGAAAAGGUAGGGGGCCCUAAGAGGGGGGACCCCCCCCCCCUGGUAUUGAGCCACGGACCAAGCUCCUACGGGAGGCAGCAGUAAGAAAUAUUGUUCAAUGGACGAAAGUCUGACCCAGCCAUGCCGCGUGCAGGAUGAAUGCCCUAUGGGUUGUAAACUGCUUUUAUACAGAAAGAAAAACUUUCUCGUGAGAAAGCUUGGCGGUACUGUAAGAAUAAGGAUCGGCUAACUCCGUGCCAGCAGCGCGGGUAAUACGGAGGAUCCAAGCGUUAUCCCGAAAUUAUUGGGUUUAAAGGGUCCGUAGGUGGAUAAUUAAGUCAGAGGUGAAAUCCUGCAGCUUAACUGUAGAAUUGCCUUUGAUACUGGUUAUCUUGAGUUAUUAUGAAGUGAUUAGAAUGUGUAGUGUAGCGGUGAAAUGCAUAGAUAUUACACAGAAUACCAAUUGCGAAGGCAGGUCACUAAUAAUCAACUGACACUGAGGGACGAAAGCGUGGGUAGCGAACAGGAUUAGAUACCCUGGUAGUCCACGCCGUAAACGAUGGUCACUAGCUGUUUAGACUUCGGUCUGAGUGGCUAAGCGAAAGUGAUAAGUGACCCACCUGGGGAGUACGUUCGCAAGAAUGAAACUCAAAGGAAUUGACGGGGGCCCGCACAAGCGGUGGAGCAUGUGGUUUAAUUCGAUGAUACGCGAGGAACCUUACCAGGGCUUAAAUGUUUGGUGACAGAUCUAGAAAUAGGUUUUUCUUCGGACACUAAACAAGGUGCUGCAUGGUUGUCGUCAGCUCGUGCCGUGAGGUGUCAGGUUAAGUCCUAUAACGAGCGCAACCCCUGUUGUUAGUUGCCAGCGAGUAAUGUCGGGAACUCUAACAAGACUGCCAGUGCAAACUGUGAGGAAGGUGGGGAUGACGUCAAAUCAUCACGGCCCUUAUGUCCUGGGCUACACACGUGCUACAAUGGUAGGUACAGAGAGCAGCCAAUGCGCGAGCAUGAGCAAAUCUAUAAAACCUAUCUCCGUUACUAGCGGCGUGUACAAGGCCCGUGAAUGUAUUCUGGAAUCAUCUAGUAAUAUUAUUGAUGCAAGCUGAUCGGGAUAUGCGGG
rnacentral:rRNA from 1 species